UGAGUGAGCCACUGAGUCAUUUAUUCAAACGAUUCACUCUGAAUCAAGAAUGAAGCAGUUGUUUAUGAAUGGGCGAUUGAAUCUUCACUCAACCGAUUCGUUCAAAACGCUGAAUCAUUCAAAACGGCUGAGCGCAGCUGCGAGAUGUGCUGAUUCUGCUCUGUUUGGAACUAUUUUCGCUGCUACAAUAGCACAAAAAAACAGGCAUAUUGCAUCUAAAACGAAUACCAACAUUCUACAAAACAUCUUUUGUGCUCCGCAGAAAAAAAGAAAGUCAUACAGGUUUGGAACGACAUGAGGAUGGGAUCGUUGGCAUGGUUACCUCUCCUCUGUCAACUCUGCGCCACAGCGACUAAACCGUGUCAGGUUGUUUAGGGAAGAUGCUCGUGAAAGCGUGGGGGAUGACUUAUGGAUGGAGAAGAAAAGAGGGAUGGGGUCUCCCCAGCGAGAGAGAUGGGUUGCAAGGUCAUAAAUGCUUGUCAGAAGUAGGGGAAACAUGGGGGAUUCAGUCGGAGGGAAAUACGAGACAAGGUUACGGAUCUUGCUCUGAAGAGAGGAGACCCGACAAGACCCCACGAGUCACUGUGGCGACGGGGGAGAGCAUCGACAGAGACACCCGUGUGACAGACUGGAGACACGACAAGAGACAUGUUGUUGUUGUUUUGGCUGGGGUUUGUUUUGUUGUGUUCAGGGAGUUGAUACAAGGGUUGGUGAACAAUCCUUCAUCACAGAGCUUUUGUUUUUUUAUGCCACUCUAUUUGUCUUGUUGCACAAGAGAUUUUCCGCUUUAUCCACGUGUUACCUUGCACUUGAUACUGAAGCUAAGCAAGCACACAUUUGUUUCCUACACUUCAAUGAGACAUUGAGAAAAAGAUUAAUUACUGAGUAGCUUUAUCGGAACUGAAAUCCAAGUUUUUUUAUUCCAUCAUAGUUAGCUAUAGUUGGUAAGAGAACAGUAGUUGAUUAAAGUAUUUUUCAUUCUUUCAUAUUUUACACUCUAAGAAAAGUCUGUAAAAAUAGGGCCCAAUAUACUGCUGUCAGGGUUAUGUUCAAGGUUCUUGUGUUUUCAUUCAAUUUAGUCUUGUUAAUUCCUUUGUUAGUUUAAUUGGUUGCUAAUUACCGUAGUUACACCUGUUUCACAUUUAGUUCCCUUAUGUAUAUAUACUCCCUGUUUUGUUCAGUUCUUUGUCAGUCAUCAUCUCAGUAUAUGUGUGAAGUGUAAGUCAUUACUCCUAAGAUUCUCCAAUGUGUUCUGUUAGUUUAAUAAAGACUGUUUAUGUCAGUAUACCCGAG